rnacentral:misc_RNA from 1 species
UACGUAGGGGGCGAGCGUUAUCCGGAAUCAUUGUGCGUAAAGCGCUCGUAGGCGGUUCAGCAAGUCGGCUGUGAAAGCCCAAGGCUCAACCUUGGAAAUGCAGUCGAUACUGCUGUGACUAGCAUCUGGUAGAGGAGAAUGGAAUUCCCGGUGUAGCGGUGGAAUGCGCAGAUAUCGGGAGGAACACCAGUAGCGAAGGCGAUUCUCUGGGCCUCGACUGACGCUGAGGAGCGAAAGCAUGGGUAGCAAACAGG